GACGAACGCUGGCGGCGUGCUUAACACAUGCAAGUCGAACGAUGAAGCUGGAGCUUGCUCCGGUGGAUUAGUGGCGAACGGGUGAGUAACACGUGAGCAAUCUGCCCUUGACUCUGGGAUAACUGCGGGAAACUGUAGCUAAUACCGGAUACGAGACUUGGAGGCAUCUCCAGGUCUGGAAAGAAUUUCGGUCAAGGAUGAGCGCGCGGCCUAUCAGCUAGUUGGUGAGGUAAUGGCUCACCAAGGCGACGACGGGUAGCCGGCCUGAGAGGGUGACCGGCCACACUGGGACUGAGACACGGCCCAGACUCCUACGGGAGGCAGCAGUGGGGAAUAUUGCACAAUGGGCGAAAGCCUGAUGCAGCAACGCAGCGUGAGGGAUGAAGGCCUUCGGGUUGUAAACCUCUUUUAGCAGGGAAGAAGCGAAAGUGACGGUACCUGCAGAAAAAGCACCGGCUAACUACGUGCCAGCCGCCGCAGUAA
rnacentral:rRNA from 1 species